CCGAAACUGGUGUGUUUUUUUUGAGAUAGAGUCUGGCUCUGUCACCCAAGCUGGAGUGCAGUGGCGCGAUCUUGGCUAACUGCAAGCUCCGCCUCCUGGGUUCCUGCCAUUCUCCUGCCUCAGCCUCCCGAGUACCUGGGACUACAGGCGUCCGCCAUCACACCCAGCUAAUUUUUGUAUUUUUUAGUAGUGAUCCACCUGCCUCGGCCUCCCAAAGUGCUGGGAUUACAGGCGUGAGCCACCGCGUCCAGCCAAUUGGUGGGUUCCUGGUCUCACUGACUUCAAGAAUGAAGCCACGGACCCUCGCAAAUAAGCUUCAAAUGAAAUAGGCUUUCGAUGUGACAGUGUUUACAGGAAACAUUAUGCUGUUACGAACUUCCCUUAGAAUCAACCCAUUUGUGAAACACCACAUUAAUAAGAGCAGUAUCUUUGGAGAUUGGAGAGUCCACCAAGGAUGCCCACUGGCUCCCUACAAAGUUUUUUAUGUGAGGACUCGGUCUCAGAUAUGGCUACUGGGAUUCUGUUCAAACUGAGUGAAGACAUCAUCAUCUUUCUUUGAGAUCUUCCUUGCUUUCUGGCCAAAGAAGUUAUUCCCUGACCCGACUUUCCAAAGAGUACUAGUUCCUUUUAGCAGUGAUUAGAAACCUGAUCUGAGUACUACUGUGUGUGCUUGUGACUAGUGUGGUUUUAUUGUUUCUAUGUCCUUUCAGCGAGCAGAUCUACAAUGAGGGAUACAUCUAAACAAAACUCCAUAUUAAUAAGUCCAGUUGAAAUCUAACAACAUAGGGUUCUUUCGCAUUCUCUUGCAUUCCAUAUUUGUAUAUUCGUUCACCCAUGGUGGCAACCCUGGCUAUUAGAAAUAUAAUUGUAUUUAUUUUGCUGUAUCCUACAAUAAAACAAAAAAAUUAAGAAUUACUAUA
rnacentral:lncRNA from 1 species